UACGGAGGGAGCUAGCGUUGUUCGGAAAUACUGGGCGUAAAGCGCACGUAGGCGGCGCGGCAAGUCAGGGGUGAAAUCCCGGGGCUCAACCCCGGAACUGCCCUUGAAACUGCAGUGCUAGAAUCUUGGAGAGGCGAGUGGAAUCCGAGUGUAGAGGUGAAAUUCGUAGAUAUUCGGAAGAACACCAGUGGCGAAGGCGACUCGCUGGACAAGUAUUGACGCUGAGGUGCGAAAGCGUGGGGAGCAAACAG
rnacentral:rRNA from 1 species